AAAUUGAAGAGUUUGAUCAUGGCUCAGAUUGAACGCUGGCGGCAGGCCUAACACAUGCAAGUCGAACGGUAACAGGAAGCAGCUUGCUGCUUUGCUGA
rnacentral:rRNA from 6 species